GACGUAGGGCGCGAGCGUUGUCCGGAUUUAUUGGGCGUAAAGAGCUCGUAGGCGGCUUGUCGCGUCGUUCGUGAAAACCCGGGGCUCAACCCCGGGCUUGCAGUGGAUACGGGCAGACUAGAGUGCGGUAGGGGAGACUGGAAUUCCUGGUGUAGCGGUGGAAUGCGCAGAUAUCAGGAGGAACACCGAUGGCGAAGGCAGGUCUCUGGGCCGCGAACUGACGCUGAGGAGCGAAAGCAUGGGGAGCGAACAGG
rnacentral:rRNA from 1 species